CAGCAGUAGCCGCGGUAAUACGAAGGGGGCUAGCGUUGCUCGGAAUGACUGGGCGUAAAGGGCGCGUAGGCGGAUUGUACAGUCAGACGUGAAAUUCCUGGGCUCAACCUGGGGACUGCGUUUGAGACGUGCGAUCUAGAGUUUGGAAGAGGGUCGUGGAAUUCCCAGUGUAGAGGUGAAAUUCGUAGAUAUUGGGAAGAACACCGGUGGCGAAGGCGGCGACCUGGUCCUUGACUGACGCUGAGGCGCGAAAGCGUGGGGAGCAAACAGGAUUAGAUACCCCCGUAGUCCCUGUCUCUUAUAA
rnacentral:rRNA from 1 species